UUUUGCGAGGGUCGUAAAGAAAGUCAAAGAAUAAAGUAACGGCUUUUAUGCGAUUGGAUAAGCAAAAAUUGUGAGUGGGACCAGUACGACCUGCCGUUUUGCUGCAAAUCCACGUGCGCUGACCCGAUUCGCCACCUGAGAUGAAGUACAUGCUUGUUAAGUCCAAAAGGAGUAUUGGCUACAGAUAAGUGAUCUUAUGAAUAUAUAUAAUAUUUAUUUUGAAUUUUCUGACAAAUUUUAUUUCUUUUGCACUGCUCAAAGGGAUGCGCCUGCACGUAGCACUAGGCUUUAGGAUCGUUUUUUGACUUGGUAUGCCUUGUUGUACUUGACAAACAUGUGUUCAGAGUGAAACAUUUUCCCCCCUAUUUUUGUAGUACUGCUGGGAUGGAAGCCAGUGGAACAAGCAACAUGAAGUUUGCUACGAUUGGUUGCAUCUUAAUUGGGACCUUAGAUGGGGCCAAUGUUGAAAUACGGCAAGAGGCUGGAGAAGACAGUUUUUUUCCUCUUGGUGCUGAAGCUCAUGAGAUCGUGGGCCAGAGAAAAGAAAGAGCUGAGGGGAAGUUUCGAAGAAGUGAAAGAAUUUGCCAGAAGUGGUGUUUUCGGGCCUUACAACUAUGAGGAACUGAUGAGAUCAUUAGAAGGAAAUGAAGGUUUUGGUCGUACUGAUUAUUUCCUUGUUGGCAAGGACUUCCCCAGCUAUAUAGAAUGCCAACAGAAAGUCGAUAAGGCAUAUUAGGACGAAAGGAGAGGGAUCAAGAUGUCAAUCGUGAAUACAGCAACUUCAUAGUCAUACAAGUUCAGCGGCGACAGGACGAUUCAUGAAUAUGCAAGGGAUAUUUGGAGCAUUGAACCUGUGAUAUUGCCAUAGUCAUCAUCACUUGAGUUGCAGAGUGGUGGUGCGGCAAGCUCAAGACUACGAUCUGUCCGCAGCACACCGUAAUGUUGAUUUGCCUUCCAUGUAAAGGAAAGUCUGGAAUAAAUGUAUAUCAAUAAUGAAAAAAAUAAUAAUAAGUAUGCGAAGUUCGACCGCUGCAAAAAUAAAGAAAAUCUUACUUCAUUGCACAUUGUGUCAUAGCUCUGCUCUACCAUCGUGGAUGUCUGUGAUUAAAGCCAUUAUGCAAAAGAUGUGUUUGAUAUGUAAUGCUGGCCCUGAGAGAGAAGCAUGCUUGAAUUUUGACAAAUGGCAAUGGGCCGGUUUCGAAUCAGGGCAAAGAUGCAUGGAAGUGGACAUUUGAUAUUUCUUUUUUUAUUUUUUAUUAUAAUUUUAGAAGUUAUUUAAGAUCCGCUGUUGAAUAUAAGAUG